UUGGGUCCGGCAUAACCCCGGGAAACUGGGGAUAAUUCCGGAUAACGCACAUAUGCUGGAAUGCUUUAUGCGUAAAAUGGAUUCGUCUGCCCAAGGAUGGGUCUGCGGCCUAUCAGGUAGUAGUGGGUGUAAUGUACCUACUAGCCUACAACGGGUACGGGUUGUGAGAGCAAGAGCCCGAAGAUGGAUUCUGAGACAUGAAUCCAGGCCCUACGGGGCGCAGCAGGCGCGAAAACUUUACAAUGCGGGAAACCGUGAUAAGGGGACACCGAGUGCUAGCAUCAUAUGCUGGCUGUCCAGGUGUGUAAAAUACACUUGUUAGCAAGGGCCGGGCGAGACCGGUGCCAGCCGCCGCGGUAACACCGGCGGCCCGAGUGGUGAUCGUGAUUAUUGGGUCUAAAGGGUCCGUAGCCGGUUUGGUCAGUCCUCCGGGAAAUCUGAUAGCUCAACUAUUAGGCUUUCGGGGGAUACUGCCAGACUUGGAACCGGGAGAGGUAAGAGGUACUACAGGGGUAGGAGUGAAAUCUUGUAAUCCCUGUGGGACCACCUGUGGCGAAGGCGUCUUACCAGAACGGGUUCGACGGUGAGGGACGAAAGCUGGGGGCACGAACCGGAUUAGAUACCCGGGUAGUCCCAGCCGUAAACGAUGCUCGCUAGGUGUCAGGCAUGGCGCGACCGUGUCUGGUGCCGCAGGGAAGCCGUGAAGCGAGCCACCUGGGAAGUACGGCCGC
rnacentral:rRNA from 1 species